UACUAGGAUUCAAAACAGGGGAGUCAUGGGUUUUGGGUACUGGAAUAUUGUUCAAUGUUGGGUACAUGCUGUCUUCGUUCCAGUUGGAGAACAUUCAAAUCUUCAAUUUCUGAUGUCUGAAUCUGAUGAUGCUAUUGCUAUGCGAUGAACGAUCCAUUUCGGCCGUAGUACAUGGCUUUGCGCCGCCUGACCACCGCCACUUAUUCCGGGCUCCGCCACCAGAAACCACAAAUCGCCACCACUCACCAAAACCCUAACCCUAAACCCCACUUCCUCUCUCACUUCUCCACUUCCUUCCUCGUCACUAAAGCCCCCAAAAAGCACCGCAAGAAGCGAAAGAAGGAAAGCCCCCGAACCACGCCGAUCCAGCACCCCUCCAGCCGCCUCCCGCCUUUCGAAGCCAUCGUCGAGCGCGACGCCGCCUUCCGCUUCCUCACCAGGACCAAAGCCUACCUCUCCAAGCAGCCGGAGCACGUCCUCCGCCUCGACGACGCUGGAAAGCUCUACCGCGAGCUCGGCUUCCCCCGCGGCCGCAAGGUCCUCCGCUCCAUCCAGCGCCACCCCCUCCUUCUCGAGACCUACCGCCAUGACGACGGCAAGUUGUGGUUCGGCUUCACCAACUUCAUGGAAUCGCUCCUCGAAGAAGAGAAGGCCAUCGCGAAUUCAAUGGAGGCUCGCAGAGUCACCGCUGUCCGGAAACUCCUCAUGAUGUCGGCGCAAAAGCGAAUUCCUCUCAGCAAAUUGCACCAUUGCCGGUCGCUGUUCGGCCUCCCGGAAGAUUUAAGGGACCGGGUCGGGUCAUACCCAGAAUAUUUCCGGGUCGUGGCUGAAGACGACGGGAAGAGAGUCCUCGAGCUCGUGAACUGGGAUCCGCUAUUGGCAGUGAGCGCAUUAGAGAGGGAAUUCAUGGUGGACGAGGACCGAGUGAAGAAAGCCUUCAAAUUUCCGGUGAAGCACGGCAAGUCACUUGAUUUGGAGGACUACGAUGCGAGGAAAUUGAAUUUGUUGAACACGCUUCCCCUGGUUUCGCCUUAUUCAGAUGGGUCGAAGCUGGAUCUCUGGACAUUGGAGGCCGAGAAGUAUAGGGUUGGGGUUUUGCACGAGUUCUUGAGCUUGACGUUGGAGAAGAGGGCUUCCAUACACCACAUUGUGGAGUUCAAGGAGGAGUUUAGUCUCACCAAACAUACUUACCAGAUGCUUUUGAAGCAGCCUCGCACCUUCUAUUUGGCUGGCACUGAGAUGAACUGGGUUGUAUUCUUGAGAGAUGCUUAUGGUGAAGAUGGGAUUUUGAGCAAUAAGGAUCCACAGGUGGUUUUCAAUGAGAAGUUGUAUAGAUACGCGCAGUUGCAAGAGAUGGAACCCAUAUCUGAGGUUAUGGAGAAAUGAUCCGGUUCCAGUUUGCUGUAACUUCGCAAUUUCUGCAAUUGCAAAUUGAGCAAAUGAAGGGCGCCAGUCUGAUCAGCAUGUUUAUUGUCCAAGCACGACAUGUCUUAGUCAUUCUUACUUCUUAUCCAUCUACCUCAUCGGAUGUCAUGCGACAAAUUUGGGAUGACAUAUGUGCCUAUAAAUCUAUACAUAUGGCAGUCCUACUAAAAUUCUUCCGUUGAAAAUACCAGACUAGACAAUUCUUCAAGAUACAGCACCAUAGAUGCUUCAGUACUUGGUUCUUCAUUGCUCCUUCACAAUCAUAUUAUUUUUCAUAUAUGGACCAUUGUUAAAAGGUGAAAGCAUAACAUGGUUAAUAUGUCUUUUCUAAUUUUGAUGCAGUCUAGAAGGGUAAAUGAGAUAUAGUCUUAGUAGCUAUCAUUUUAUGGAUUAAAAAAGCUCUUGAAUUUGCAAGAACAGAAAGUUCAAUUAUAUGUAAUGGUAAUAACCUUCAAUGUGCUCUGUGUAGAAAUUGCAGUUUUUUAUGAAGAACUAUAAUAUGGAACCUUUCUAGACGAAAAAUCCAAAAAAGGCUGAAAAUGGAAAUAUUGAUCGUAAAACUUGAUCUUCCUUCUAAAAGUCCAAAAAAAAAAAAAAUCCAAGUCGAAAUGAAUUUGCUUAAUGCAAGAAAUCUGCAAAAUAUAGAUUAUUAAAAUGAAAGGUUUAGGCCCGAAAAAGGUGGAAUUUGGCAUAAAUUUGUCAUAUCACUGUAGAAUUAGUUAAUAUUGUUUGUUAGAUCAUCUUUAAUUGACCUGCCAAAUUUCACUUGAUUUCAAGUAGUUUCACCAAAUUACCAUAUUCCCUUUGGCUUCAAUUUUAAUCUUGGCUCAACUUAUAUUACAAGAGCCAUCUCCCAGGCAUCCUACAUCAGUCUCUCUCCCCUUCUUCUGAAUAUUACUUGCUCAAGUUAAAAACAUGCAUAGUAUAAACAACAACAUAUCCAGCCUUUAUCCCACUAUGUGGCAUCGGCUACAUGAAUUCUAGAAUUUCAUGUAUUUCUAUCUUUUGUCAUAUAUUCAUUGAGAUCUAUACACUUCAUAUCAAACUUUAAUGUCUUCCUCAAAUUCUUCUUAGGUCUGCCUCUACCUCUUUUUUUGAUUAAUUGUUCCAUUUCAUCAACUCUCCUCACAGGAGCGUCUCUUAGUCUCCUUCUCACAUGAUCAAACCAUCUUAGUCUAGUCUCUCUCAUCUUCUCCUCUAUUGGCACUACUCCUAUCUUAUUACGAAUAACUUCAUUUCUAAUUUUAUCUUUUCUUGUAUGGCCGUACAUCCAUCUUAACAUCCUCAUCUCUGCUACACUCGUCUUUUGCUUCUGUUGGUAUUUGACUGCCCAACAUUUUGAACCGACAUGCAUGGUAUGAGUGUAAAAAUUUAUUGUGUCUUCUGGGUUACCUUGUGUGUUUAGUAAGGGGUUGCCUUUAUUUGGAACUAUCACAACUCAGUCCUCCUCCAUAUGCUCAUCUUCUUUAUCACAUUUUGCUUCAAAAGUCUCCAUCCACUUCCUCUUUAGUUGUUGCCAGAUUAAUAGCUUACACCUUCGAACAAUAAUUGGAGUUCUGCUUCAAGUAUACCGGUCACACUUAUCUCCUUCAAGGAGGGCAUAAGGGUUGAUGGCCUACAAUGUUUUGGCUUGCAUACUACUGAGUUUGUGUGAGUUAUGCAGGUCCUAUAAUUGCUUCAUCUUUAUUUGUCUCAGUCUUAUACGGUAAGAUGGUGGAACUAAGAGUUUUGAUUGGUUAUAGAUUUUGAGCUGCUUAUCUGCAAUUCUAGUCCUGUGGCCAGUCGUAUACCAUCUUACUAAUCCGGGUGUAUAGUUGCCACAUCACAUGUCUCAUUUGGCAACCCCUUGACCAACUGAUUUUCCAUCAACAUGUCAUUGUUAGCUGACAAGCCUUGGAACUCGAAGUCAUGGUCAUAAAUAGAUGGGGUGUUUUGCCUAUAUGUGUGAUACUACUUCUGGUCAUAGUCUAGAGGUAAGAAUCAGGCUCACAUCAAAUAAAUUCAUCUAAUUCAUCCAAGAUCAUGUCCAGAUUUUGCUUUUGCUGUGCCUGAUUGGUGAAAAUUUUAAUUGCUAUCCAAAAAAAAAAAAAGUUGCCCUUAAGUUUGUGAGUUUCUAGCUUCACAAUUCUUUUCCCGAAGUCUUCAAUGACCCAAUAUUUGUCAAAAGAUGUAUGGUACACCCUUCUCUGGAAGUUAUCAUAGGUACUACACAUCUACACAUAUGGUUAGGUUUAACAAUAUCCAGCAUCUAUUACUUCUCUUGGUCCUCACCCCAAGUUGCUUUAUUUAUUGGCAGUUGAUUAUUGGUUCUGUGAGUUAGCCCCUCGCUAACUGUUGAAUCUUGUUGAACAGCUAGUAGUUCAUCUGGAACUACUGUUAUUGUUUAUCAAAUUACUGUUGUUACUUUCUCUUGACUUCACCCUACAAAAUUCCAACACCAUGAUCAUCAUACAUCAUGGGUAGUCUCUUUGGUACUUUGUUAUGCGCCAUUAGAUGAAGACGAGGACCUCGCUCUUAUACCACUUGUUGUGACCUAGAAGGAUAAAACGGAUAUCUUUCUAGCAGACAGAUAAGUUGGUAGAUAUCAUUCUAUGGAUGUAGUAAAGAGCUUUUUGAAUCUAUAAGAACAUAAAAUUCACUAAUUCAAAUGGUAUUCAUCUUUAAUGAUCUCUAUAUGUAGAGAUUACAGCUCUUUAUAAAGAACUACAACAUUGAAUUUUUGAUAGAAUAAAAGUAGCAGAAAAUCAAAAAAUUUACCUA